rnacentral:lncRNA from 10 species
UUUUAAAAUCAAGGAUUAAAAACAAAUACAACAUAGAACUCUCCAGUAGGCAGAAUGGCAGAAAAAAGAGUAGUGGUUCUGUCACAGAACAUUUCGUGACAGUUUGGCUCAGAAAGAAUCAUGACAAUUUCUUUUGUUGUUGUUGUUAUUUGCCUCCCAACAGGAAACAAUGACACUUUCUUUAACACAAAAUAUUAUAUGAGCUGCUUAAAAACCAGCUUCUUCAAGCUUCUCAGUCUCACUCAUAACUUGUUCGUAGUAUAAUAAUUUCUGUGGGGAAGAUAGUUUAACUGAAGUAUAAUAUUUUUUGUGGGGAAGAUAGUUUAACUGAAAAAGAAAAUAUAUUACCAAAUUUUAAAUACUGAAAACAAGGACUUUUGUUCAAAAACUUUAUUUGCCUUCUGCUCAUUAUAAUUACAUAUAAUCUUCAAGGAGUUUAAAUGACAACCAAAUCCAAGGCCUGGCCCCCAAGAACACAGUGAUAGGAUUCAGCAUUUGGUGUUUCUAAUUAUACAAUGACUACAUAUAUAUCAUAGACUUGCUCUCAUCCAUUCUCCACCAUAAAGUUUCAAUUUCCUCUUAAAAUAUGGCAGUCAAGUUUAGUCUCAUUCAAAACAGAGAUUAAACGAAUUGCCUAAGGACACGGAGCAAAUCAGUGGGAGACCUAUUACUAAAUUCCAAGUCUCUGGCUCAUAUUCUAGAGCCCUUUCUACUCUCA